CGUGGGACGCUAGUUGUGAACAAGGUGUGAAGAGCCUAUUGAGCUACUCAAGAGUCCUCCGGCCCCUGAAUGCGGCUAAUCCUAACCACGGAGCAAUCGCUCACGACCCAGUGAGUAGGUUGUCGUAAUGCGUAAGUCUGUGGCGGAACCGACUACUUUGGGUGUCCGUGUUUCCCUUUAUAUUCAUACUGGCUGCUUAUGGUGACAAUUUACGAAUUGUUACCAUAUAGCUAUUGGAUUGGCCACCCAGUG
rnacentral:other from 18 species